UCCAGACUCCUACGGGAGGCAGCAGUGGGGGAUAUUGCACAAUGGGGGGAACCCUGAUGCAGCGACGCCGCGUGGGUGGAGGAGCGUUUCGGCGCGUAAAGCCCUAUCGGCAGGGAAGAAGGAGGACGGUACCUGACUAAGAAGCCCCGGCUAACUACGUGCCAGCAGCCGCGGUAAUACGUAGGGGGCAAGCGUUAUCCGGAUUUACUGGGUGUAAAGGGGGCGCAGACGGCAGCGCAAGCCAGGAGUGAAAGCCCGGGGCCCAACCCCGGGACUGCUCUUGGAACUGCGCGGCUGGAGUGCAGGAGGGGCAGGCGGAAUUCCUGGUGUAGCGGUGAAAUGCGUAGAUAUCAGGAGGAACACCGGUGGCGAAGGCGGCCUGCUGGACUGCGACUGACGUUGAGGCCCGAAAGCGUGGGGAGCAAACAGGAUUAGAUACCCGAGUAC
rnacentral:rRNA from 1 species